rnacentral:rRNA from 1 species
CCUACGGGGGGCUGCAGUGAGGAAUAUUGGUCAAUGGAGGCAACUCUGAACCAGCCAAGUCGCGUGAAGGAAGACGGCCCUACGGGUUGUAAACUUCUUUUGUACAGGAAUAAAGUGAGUCACGUGUGGUUUUUUGCAUGUACUGUACGAAUAAGGAUCGGCUAACUCCGUGCCAGCAGCCGCGGUAAUACGGAGGAUCCAAGCGUUAUCCGGAUUUAUUGGGUUUAAAGGGUGCGCAGGCGGGAGAUUAAGUCGGCGGUGAAAUUUUGCAGCUCAACUGUAAAAGUGCCUUCGAAACUGGUUUCCUUGAGUGUGGAUGAAGUAGGCGGAAUUUGUGGUGUAGCGGUGAAAUGCAUAGAUAUCACGAGGAACUCCGAUUGCGCAGGCAGCUUACUAAGCCAUAACUGACGCUCAGGCACGAAGGCGUGGGGAUCAAACAGGAUUAGAUACCCGAGUAGUC